CUGACAUGAUAAAGCUUGACAUGGCACAAAGUAACUUGUGGCAAAACCAAGGCUAUGCACUAGAGUAUGAGCAUUCCUAAAGGGAAGGAUAAAAAUAAAUAGUAAAAUAAUCUCUUUCCAUGCUGAAGCUGACAUCCCUCAAGAAUUUGUGUGGAUAAGAAGAGUUCUCCAGUCUGGAAAUAUGAAGAGGACCUCCAAAUCAAGGCAAAGUUGUCAAAUUUCACAUGGGAUUGAAUGAAAACAAUAUAUCCUUCACUACUACUUAAGCAAGGUGACUGAAUUUCAGGUUCAUUAAAUAAGUUGUACAGAUGCCUGUCCAGGGUACUCCACUGGCAAGUCUUCACCAAGCUGAGCUGAAUGAAAACCAAUAAUGUUGCAAUAUAGAGAGGAAGUGUUCAUAUAGAAGACCAGAGCAUUCAUUCUCCUGAAACUUGUUUUUAAGCAUUCUCUAAAGAGAAUGUCACCCUGUAACAUGACUACAGUAUGAACUUGCAGUCCAGAUUCAUUAAGCCUCUGAAAGAGUGUGCCAGAAUAUAGGGUUAAAGGUCUGAGUCUUUGCAGCUGGAAGGGGCUGAACAAUCCUCAGGUACAGAACUUCCUAAACUACCCAACAAAAUGAACAGAAAAAAUCAACAGCUCCUGCAGUACACUUGACACAAAGAGAAGUCAAGGUAAAGUCUUGUCAUUCAGAGCUCCAACCUGAAGAGUGGGAAGAAAACAGAGCAUUGUUAUUCACAAAAUUAGUUAGCACCAUUUUUGUCAGCAAAGUAGUUACUAAUGCAAAUAUUUAAUCUACCAACUCUGGUUAUGCAAAUUAAUUCCCCAGAGAAGGAGUCAUAGUUGCUGUUUUAGGCUUUCUGUUGCAAGCAUUAUGUUAGUCACAACUGAUUUUGAAGAUUUCAGUGUCAGCUUGUGAAAUGUAAAGACUUUUUAUAGGAAAGAGAAGGCCUUAUCUCCAUACAAACAUGGCACUGAUUUCACUAAAUCAGCUCUCCUGGCUACAACAUAGCAGAAAAUAGGACAUCAGCUUUACUUCCUGUCACAGGAUAAUUGAACCCCAUCUCCAGGCAGGCCCAAAGAUGUACAAAGGAAAGAUGAUAAUCAUUAUUUCAUCUAGGAUAGAAACGUAUUGGAUUUUCUACCUUUCUAAGCUUUGUGUGUCUGAGUAUGUGUAUGAUAUGAUCUCUGACUCAAUUUGUUUACCUUCCAGCUCUGCUCCCAUAACAUCUGGUACAUUUAAUACAGAGAUCCCUUCAUGCCAAUGGACUGUACAGUAGGAUAUAAAUAUUAACCAGACUAGUAAAAUGUAUUUUCCACUCCUGUUCUCAGUAAUGAAGUUGAAUUAAAAAAGACAGCCUUAAGUGACAUAUCCUUUCUAACCUACUGCUGUUCUACUUUGUAUUCAUAAGUCUUCUGCAAUUGCACCUGCUCUGAUUCAGUAUUGUGUCAAGAAAGCAAUAUUAACCAACUGCUUCUUUUCUCUGCAUAUUAAGUAGAGUUAAAAGAACAAUACCAUGGUAAUGAGAUAAGGAAUUCCUGCUCUGGGAACUGGCAACAUAUUUAUAAGGUGGUGGGCAGAAAUAACUGUUUCUGAAAAUACAGUACUUAUCUAUUGUAACUCCAGUGUUCUGUUUGUGCUACAAGAUUUGGUAGAUAUAAAAGUCUGGAGCUUCAGUGGUUUCAAACAAAACAUGUCCAUUUUAGGCCAGCACAGACACAUGGAUUAGAAUAUGCAUUAUUGUUAAGUCAAUAAUAAAAAUCCCUUCCACUUUGUAGAGGAUUAUUGCAGGUAUUAAGGAAACUCAAGGCUUGGUGGAGUCUGUCAUCGGGACCAUUUGUCUUUGUUAGCCACUUUCACUAGCUAUGCUGUUCUCAGCUAGGGCUGUUCCUCAGCUUAAUCACCACAUUGCUUGGACUGAGUUGCAACAAAGCUAUCAAACCUGAGGAGAUGCUAGACUAUCUGUUCUGCUUUAAGCACAGAGGUAUCUUCUACUGUGAUUCCAAAGCCUGAUGGUUUUAUAUGCUUUGUAUGCUGUCCUGUUAUACCUGGCAUGGAAGGCAACAAACAGGAAGAGGACUGGAAAACCAUGGUGGCCCUUCCUUUUUUUUUGUGUCUUCUGCCUUUUG